rnacentral:rRNA from 1 species
GACGAACGCUGGCGGCGUGCCUAAUACAUGCAAGUCGAGCGGACUUUCCGGAGUUCUUGCACUCCGGAAGGUUACCGGCGGACGGGUGAGUCACACGUAAGCAACCUUCCCCUAAGACAGGGCUACCAUUAGGUAACGAAAGCUAAUACCGGAUAGUCGGACUUCUCGCAUGAGGGGAGCGGGAAAGGCGGAGCAAUCUGCCGCUCAUGGAUGAGCCUGGGGGGCGUUAGCUAGUUGGUGGGGUAACGGCCUACCAAGGCGACGAUGGGUAGACGAACGGGGAGGGUGAUCGGCGACAUGGGGACGUGGACAGGGCCAAGGCGCCUGCGGGAGGCAGCAGUAGGGAACCGGCCGCAGUGGACGCAAGUCUGACGGAGCAGCGCCGCGUGAGUGGGGGAGGCCUUCGGGGCGUAAAGCUCGGUUGCCAGGGAAGAACGGGCAGGGGAGUAACUGCCCUUGCCAUGACGGUACCGGAGAAGAAAGCCCCGGCUAACUACGUG